AGUGCGAAAGCUAACUUUGCUUCAAAAAUGUAUUCUUUUGCAAAUUAGUUUUUAACUGCAAAUAAAUACUGGUUCAGAAUAAGAAGUUUGAAAGAAUAAAUAAACUUCUAGACAAUAAAUUCCGUGAGGAUAGGGCCUGCACCACAUUCAUCUUUGAGCCCUCACUACUGCGCACCAAUCUUGACAAUAAUAAAUUACCUAGAAGUAUUGCUUUUCCUUUCAUGAAUGAAGAAACAUGAUCCUUUGAGUGGGAGAGAAAAAUCAUAUUGCUUAUUUUCAUUAGUAUAGAGACCAGAAAUUUUAAUUGGCUAACGUUUUCAUAUUCAUAGUUCAUGGAUUAUUUUGAUGUAGAUACAGUCAGGAAAAACAGUCAACCAAAUUAAAAUAAAAUGUUUUAACUGGAUUGCAUUAUAAUAUUUAUUUAUAGCCUAUCUAGUCCUAUAAGGAAAUCACAAAUAUGACAAAAUAAGACAUAUAAAACAAAAACCAGAAAAGAAAAUUACAUUAAGAAAACUUCUUGGAGAGAAGUCAUAGCAAUUCAGCAUGACACUUAGCUCUAAGUCUCCUGUUACCCAAUGCUGGGAGGAAAACACGAGAGGGUACCUCCCUCCUCGUUGCCUGGUAGAAGGAAGCAUCUAAGUUCAUCCAGAGAGAGAACACUUGUCCCAUCCCGAGGUUCGAGGUAAUUUAUCCUAUGCCUUUGUGAAGAAGACACUAAGAAAAAUAGGGACAAGAAACUUCAUGUCAAUUUUAUAAAUAGAGAUGAAAAGACAAAUACACAUGAAGCCUUUUUUUUUUUUUUUCCAGUCGUGGGUGAGAGAUGAGGACAGAAUGUUGUGUUUCCAUGAGAGCUAUCCCUGAGGAAAAUUUACUUUGCUGGUAUGAUGAAGAUCACUUUUACACCCAUUCAGUGGUUUUCAGUACUGUCUACAAAUAUUUAUGGCACUUACACAUGAAAGGUUUAGCCUUGGAAAAUUCAUUUUAAGCCAAGAAUACCCUGUACCUAAAGUUCACAACCAUCCAGUAGGAUGUGAAAAAUAAAGCAUCAACAACAGCUCAACUCAGAUGGACUGACUGUCCUGUAACAAUAGAUCAGAACACAAGAUGAUUGUUGGGGCAUAAAAAGAAAAUAUUAGAACUUCUGCUUAUAUUUAUUGUAGAACAUAUUGUAAAGUUUUUAUUAUUUAUUCACUUUUUGAUGUAUACUUUACUUAUUUUAGUAAAUAAGUAAACAUAAGUUGGAGAAAUGUACUGAUUUUUUUUUAUUAGAGGGGAGCACAAAAAUGCCUUGGAAAUGACUGUAACAGAUAACCAGAAAGUAUAACCGUUAGGGAGAGGGGCACCAAAGAGUAAAAAUGGAAGAGAAACA
rnacentral:lncRNA from 1 species